CCGACCGCGGCGACUGACGAAAAGGCAGCCGAAAAAGAGGACUUGCCAAGAUCAUGGUUUAGUUCGUUAACUCGGGUGUUUAGAGAGAAUUCGUUUUUUAAAAUGCCUUGCGCAUGUAAUCGGAAUAACUGGAGGAAAUGGAUUCGACCUCUGUUGAUACUCCUUUAUGCGUUGGCCAUCCUGGUAACCGUACCUGUUUGCAUCUGGGAAUUUCAAAAAUUAAAGGUUGGUAUUCACACAAAAGUGUGGUUUAUUGCUGGAAUAUUUCUACUUUUGACGAUACCUGUAUCCAUGUGUGGAAUUCUUCAACAUCUAGUGCAUUAUACCCAACCCGAGCUGCAGAAACCUAUAAUAAGGAUCCUUUGGAUGGUCCCAAUCUACAGUUUGGAUAGUUGGGUGGCUUUGAAAUAUCCCAAAAUUGCAAUAUACGUGGAUACAUGGAGAGAAUGUUAUGAAGCUUACGUAAUCUAUAACUUUAUGAUAUUCCUUACCAACUACCUGACAAUCCGAUUUCCAAACUUGAUGUUACAUCUGGAAGCUAAAGAUCAACAAAACCAUCUCCCUCCAUUAUGCUGCUGUCCACCAUGGGCGAUGGGAGAAAUGCUGCUCUUCAGGUGCAAGCUAGGAGUGCUGCAGUACACUGUCGUCAGACCGAUCACCACCGUCACCUCCUUGAUCUCUGUGAGUUCGAGACCCUCUUGGACUAUUAGAGAGACCAAGUCUUACAUUAAACACAAAAUCUGUUUGAUGUCAAAAUGUGAGGUAUAAUCAAACCACCUGGGAAUCUGUCCCCUAAAAAUCCCAAAAAUGUCAAUUUAUGUGAUUUUCUGUUAGACUGUAUAUUGUGCAACUCACAAAAUAAAAGAAAGCCAUGUGAAG
rnacentral:lncRNA from 1 species